CCUGCCGUUAGAAGCAUUGUGGGCGUGGCUGCUGUGUCACAUGUGCGUCAGUAGGGGGCAGAGGGGAGAGGCUGUGUGUACACUCAAUGUUCCCACCUAUGGACAUCGGACUCGGUAGCCUAACAGU